AGUGAACGCUGGCGGUAGGCCUAACACAUGCAAGUCGAACGGCAGCACAGUAAGAGCUUGCUCUUACGGGUGGCGAGUGGCGGACGGGUGAGGAAUACAUCGGAAUCUACUUUUUCGUGGGGGAUAACGUAGGGAAACUUACGCUAAUACCGCAUACGACCUACGGGUGAAAGCAGGUGAUCUUCGGACCUUGCGCGAUUGAAUGAGCCGAUGUCGGAUUAGCUAGUUGGCGGGGUAAAGGCCCACCAAGUCGACGAUCCGUAGCUGGUCUGAGAGGAUGAUCAGACACACUGGAACUGAGACACGGUCCAGACUACUACGGGAGGCAGCAGUGGGGAAUAUUGGACAAUGGGCGCAAGCCUGAUCCAGCCAUACCGCGUGGGUGAAGAAGGCCUUCGGGUUGUAAAGCCCUUUUGUUGGGAAAGAAAAGCAGCAGGUUAAUACCCCGCUGUUCUGACGGUACCCAAAGAAUAAGCACCGGCUAACUUCGUG
rnacentral:rRNA from 1 species